AAAUUGAAGAGUUUGAUCAUGGCUCAGAUUGAACGCUGGCGGCAGGCCUAACACAUGCAAGUCGAACGGUAGCACAGAGAGCUUGCUCUCGGGUGACGAGUGGCGGACGGGUGAGUAAUGUCUGGGAAACUGCCUGAUGGAGGGGGAUAACUACUGGAAACGGUGGCUAAUACCGCAUAACGUCGCAAGACCAAAGAGGGGGACCUUCGGGCCUCUUGCCAUCAGAUGUGCCCAGAUGGGAUUAGCUUGUUGGUGAGGUAACGGCUCACCAAGGCGACGAUCCCUAGCUGGUCUGAGAGGAUGACCAGCCACACUGGAACUGAGACACGGUCCAGACUCCUACGGGAGGCAGCAGUGGGGAAUAUUGCACAAUGGGCGCAAGCCUGAUGCAGCCAUGCCGCGUGUAUGAAGAAGGCCUUCGGGUUGUAAAAGUACUUUCAGCGGGGAGGAAGGUGUUGUGGUUAAUAACCGCAGCAAUUGACGUUACCCGCAGAAGAAGCACCGGCUAACUCCGUGCCAGCAGCCGCGGUAAUACGGAGGGUGCAAGCGUUAAUCGGAAUUACUGGGCGUAAAGCGCACGCAGGCGGUCUGUCAAGUCGGAUGUGAAAUCCCCGGGCUCAACCUGGGAACUGCAUUCGAAACUGGCAGGCUUGAGUCUUGUAGAGGGGGGUAGAAUUCCAGGUGUAGCGGUGAAAUGCGUAGAGAUCUGGAGGAAUACCGGUGGCGAAGGCGGCCCCCUGGACAAAGACUGACGCUCAGGUGCGAAAGCGUGGGGAGCAAACAGGAUUAGAUACCCUGGUAGUCCACGCCGUAAACGAUGUCUACUUGGAGGUUGUGCCCUUGAGGCGUGGCUUCCGGAGCUAACGCGUUAAGUAGACCGCCUGGGGAGUACGGCCGCAAGGUUAAAACUCAAAUGAAUUGACGGGGGCCCGCACAAGCGGUGGAGCAUGUGGUUUAAUUCGAUGCAACGCGAAGAACCUUACCUGGUCUUGACAUCCACAGAAGAAUCCAGAGAUGGAUUUGUGCCUUCGGGAACUGUGAGACAGGUGCUGCAUGGCUGUCGUCAGCUCGUGUUGUGAAAUGUUGGGUUAAGUCCCGCAACGAGCGCAACCCUUAUCCUUUGUUGCCAGCGGUCCGGCCGGGAACUCAAAGGAGACUGCCAGUGAUAAACUGGAGGAAGGUGGGGAUGACGUCAAGUCAUCAUGGCCCUUACGACCAGGGCUACACACGUGCUACAAUGGCGCAUACAAAGAGAAGCGACCUCGCGAGAGCAAGCGGACCUCAUAAAGUGCGUCGUAGUCCGGAUUGGAGUCUGCAACUCGACUCCAUGAAGUCGGAAUCGCUAGUAAUCGUGGAUCAGAAUGCCACGGUGAAUACGUUCCCGGGCCUUGUACACACCGCCCGUCACACCAUGGGAGUGGGUUGCAAAAGAAGUAGGUAGCUUAACCUUCGGGAGGGCGCUUACCACUUUGUGAUUCAUGACUGGGGUGAAGUCGUAACAAGGUAACCGUAGGGGAACCUGCGGUUGGAUCACCUCCUUA
rnacentral:rRNA from 1 species